rnacentral:rRNA from 1 species
UACGUAGGGUGCAAGCGUUAAUCGGAAUUACUGGGCGUAAAGCGUGCGCAGGCGGUUUUGUAAGUCUGUUGUGAAAUCCCCCGGGCUCAACCUGGGAAUGGCAAUGGGAGACUGCAAGGCUAGAGUUUGGCAGAGGGGGGUAGAAUUCCACGUGUAGCAGUGAAAUGCGUAGAUAUGUGGAGGAACACCGAUGGCGAAGGCAGCCCCCUGGGGUCAAAAACUGACGCUCAUGCACGAAAGCGUGGGGGAGCAAACAGG